ACGGGAGGCAGCAGUGAGGAAUAUUGGUCAAUGGGCGAGAGCCUGAACCAGCCAAGUAGCGUGCAGGAUGACGGCCCUCCGGGUUGUAAACUGCUUUUAGUUGGGAAUAAAGAGAGGGACGUGUCCCUUAUUGUAUGUACCAUCUGAAAAAGGACCGGCUAAUUCCGUGCCAGCAGCCGCGGUAAUACGGAAGGUCCGGGCGUUAUCCGGAUUUAUUGGGUUUAAAGGGAGCGUAGGCGGGCCUUUAAGUCAGUGGUAAAAGCGGGGGGCUCAACCAUACCACGCCAUUGAAACUGGAGGCCUUGAGUGCACACAGGGAUGCUGGAAUUCGUCGUGUAGCGGUGAAAUGCUUAGAUAUGACGAAGAACUCCGAUCGCGAAGGCAGGUGUCCGGGGUGUAACUGACGCUGAGGCUCGAAAGUGCGGGUAUCAAACAGGAUUAGAUACCCUGGUA
rnacentral:rRNA from 1 species